UAUGAGAUGUACAUAUAAGUUCUGGUUUGGACAUUCAUGUCAAUACAAAGUCAUAUUUCUCUAAAUCCUGAGAUGUACAUGUAAGUUGCAUGUGGUUUAGCGCUCCCACUUGAUUGCCUAUAAGUUUUGGUUUGGACAUUCAUGUCAAUAUAAAGUCGUAUUUCCACCAAUCCAUUGUACUAUUAGCCAUGUUUGUGCCAACUUCUACACGUCAAACCCCAUGGUAGAAGAGGGUACAUGGAAGAAGAAGAGUGUAAAAGAAAGAAUGAGAUCAUUCAUGAUGAUAUUUUAUGUGUAUUGAUCAAGUCUGAAGUGUCUGAAUUUAUAGGGGAUGGGUAUCUUUGGUUCUAUCUUUAGGCAUGAUACUUGGCUGCAAGUCUCAAGUGUCUGAAUUUAUAGGGGAUGGGUAUCUUUGGUUCUAUCUUUAGGCAUGAUAGUUGGCUGCAAGUGAUAAUUAGUUCACAUUUUUUUUGUGAUAACAUAGCAUAGGAGUAAAUCUGGGCAAUCUAUAUAUUCAUUUGAUUCAUCAAUGCAGUCAUCUAAUCAAAUGGAAAAAAAAAAAACAUUUUCUGAAUAUUGUAUAAAAAAAGUAAUGAUCAAGUGAUGAGCAACUUACGUGUUGAUUAUAUGAAGGUGUUCCUAGGCAAUUGGAUGGAUGUCUCGAGACAUAGGUUGACGUACGGCCAUAGACCAUGAAUGGUGAACUGUCUGUGCCCUCAUCCCGAAGCAUUGACAUGCAGUGUAAAGGUGGAUACCCCUUAUAUUUGUAUGCUCCUCUUCCUUAAUGAUAAUCUCCUCUUUUGUUGAAAAAAAUAAUACAUAAGAUCAUCUAAACAUAUAUUUUUUUAAUAGCAAAGAAAU
rnacentral:lncRNA from 1 species